UAUAAUAUAAAAACAUAAGUAAUAUAAGAAAAUCAGUUUAUCAUCGAUAUAUUGUAUUUGAAAAUUUAUUUUUAAUAUCUCCAUUUUACUCUAAGGUUUGUCUAAAUUUGAAUUGCAAUUUAUUGAAGUCUUUCCAAAUAAACCCCAUAGUCAGAACAAUCAAGAAUAUUAACAAGAAUCAACAGUAUUUACAAGGAUAAAAUUCAAUUACUCUUAUCCCCUAAAUUCUUUUUGUCCUUUUAAAGUAAAUAUUUUUUUGGUAUAUCUUUAGAGAACCCAGGAUAAUCCUGCCUCCAAGUGUUCUGAGUUUGCCAGCAGCUCAAUUUUGGGGACCAGGUUAAUAGCAUCCUGAUAACAGUAAAUUCUAAAGAAUAUUGAGAAUAUUAAAGGAGCAAUUACUUGAAGUUUACAACAAAGGAGAAAGGGAAUGCUGUGGAACUCAUACAUCUGCUGUUGGAUACCAGAAUAGGGUCUGGUAUAUAAUAGUAUCCAAUAAACAAUUGUUUUAUGAAUUAGUAUACAUGGAAGAAUCAUGGAGUGUAAAAGGUAAAGAUACUAAUAUUAAUACUAAUGAAAUUCAGACAGUGAAUGCAUAAAGCAGCUUCCCAUCCUUUGUACGCAUAUUCCCAUAUGUCUGCUUAAAAUGAACUAUUUGAUGGUAAUUUCUUUCCAUGCAUGCAAAGUGGGAG
rnacentral:lncRNA from 12 species